rnacentral:rRNA from 1 species
UACGGGGGGGGUAAGCGUUGUUCGGAAUUACUGGGCGUAAAGGGCUCGUAGGCGGCCAACUAAGUCAUACGUGAAAUCCCUCAGCUUAACUGGGGAACUGCGUGUGAUACUGGAUGGCUUGGAUUUGGGAGAGGGAUGCGGAAUUCCAGGUGUAGCGGUGAAAUGCGUAGAUAUCUGGAGGAACACCGGUGGCGAAGGCGGCAUCCUGGACCAAUAUUGACGC